UUCUUUUAAAAAUUCCAUGAGCUGAUCAGAGCGCUUUACGGUCUACGCGUUUCGACAAACUGUCUUAUUCAUGACCAUACUGUGCAGCAAAAUUUACUGAUUUAAAAAACCCUUCACCCACCUCAGACACUCCUUCGCUUCCAUGGGUGAACAAUUUUCAAAUUGGAAUUCAGGGUGUGUCUGGUGACAUCAUAAAAUACAAAACUACUUGAAAAGAAAAAAAGCUUCUACAAAGGUAAAAAUGAAUCAACAAUCACAUAUAGUCAUAUAAAAUAUAAAUCAAUAUUCAAAGAUGAGAUCAUGUCUAUUAUUCAUGCCAUUUGGAAUCCUGGUAUGUAAUAAGAAGAUCCAAAAAGACUCCCUGUUAAAAAGCAGUCUGUUUAGAUUUCCUCCUCGCAAUGGUUUUUUUGUUAACCCUUUCAAUACCAACAACUUCAAGAUCUGCUGUGUUACCCCCAUGUACAUCUCUGAAAUGUCAAGACAACAUGGAAAUAUUCACUACCUUCAAGUUUUAAAUGUCUGAAAGGUGUUUCCUUAUUCUAGUUUUCAAACUAUUUGAACACUACAGCUGCUGCAGGUGGCUAAAUAAAUCACAUUGCUUGUGUUACAGUUUAUAUAUGAUUUAAUUUUAAAUUAUUCUCCUGUAGCACUAGAUUUAAAACUCUUGCUAUUUUAAUAAAUUGGCAGGUUAUACAUACAUUAUGUC